GACGGAGGGGGCAAGCGUUGUCCGGACUCACUGGGCGUAAAGGGCGCGUAGGUGGUCUCGUGCGUCGGUGCUGAAAGCGCCGGGCUUAACCCGGCGAGGCGUGCCGAUACGACGAGACUCGAGGAAGAGAGAGGGUAGCGGAAUUCCGGGUGUAGUGGUGAAAUGCGUAGAGAUCCGGAGGAACGCCAGAGACGAAGGUGGCUACCUGGCUCUGACCUGACACUGAGGCGCGAAAGCGUGGGGAGCGAACCGG
rnacentral:rRNA from 1 species